AGUUGAGAUAGUGGUAGUUGAAGCAACUUAAAUUUGUUAAUCAUAUGUAAAUUUUUGUUGAUUUUCUGUUGUUGGAAUUUCCUGCCUAAAGAAUGUCUUUAUCUCAGAACCUCAAUAAAAGGGAUGGCAAAAGGCCAGAGCACUGGGUAGUCUUCCCCCUAGAGGUGGACUCCCACCUGGCUCCCCAUUUUCCCAAAUUAACUCUUUUCUAGCCUCUCUGCAUUUUGUGUGCGGCCUUCUCCAGAACGCGGACUCUGAAGUAGAAUCCUGAACCAGGCGGGUCGUGUUAAGAGAUCCCACAGUCACCUGGUUGAUGGCACUUGGGAGCUCCCCCGGAAAUGCGGUCCAUCCUCCCCAUCCCAGAGCUGCCUGUAUCGUGGAAAGAUGAACAGCCCUGUUGCAGAAAUUGGAGCCCUUUGCAUACCUCCCGCCUGCAUUACCUGCAAACUGCCCAAUGUGUCAUACCCUUUUGCCUACUUCCCCAUGUAAUCCUCAUCCUUCUCCCAAUAUAAGCAGCUGGCUUAUGGCAGGGGUAGAGCAGAUGUUUGUGGAUGACCUGCUGCUCUCCCAUACUGUCAGCAGAACUGGAAUAAAUGCUCACAUAUGAUUCAACCCUGUCUCUGCUUAAUUGGCUCAAGCAGUGACAGGUAGUGAAGACCCAUUGAUUGCCCAGUUAUAAUAAUAUGAAGUAACAUGUUUAUUCAACUAUUUCAUUAAUUUAAUUUCUAGUUAAACUAUCAUAAAGGAAAAAAUAAGGGAAAUGUACAGAAUUUGUGCUGCUGUGAGGACAGGGACAAAUGAUGAGCACAUCGCCCAUGCCUCUCCG